AUUGAACGCUGGCGGCAGGCCUAACACAUGCAAGUCGAGCGAGCGGCGGACGGGUGAGUAAUGUCUGGGAAACUGCCUGAUGGAGGGGGAUAACUACUGGAAACGGUAGCUAAUACCGCAUACCAUCAGAUGUGCCCAGAUGGGAUUAGCUAGUAGGUGGGGUAACGGCUCACCUAGGCGACGAUCCCUAGCUGGUCUGAGAGGAUGACCAGCCACACUGGAACGGGGACACGGUCCAGAAUCCUACGGGAGGCAGCAGUUGGGAAUAUUGCACAAUGGGGGCAAGCCUGAUGCAGCCAUGCCGCGUGUGUGAAGAAGGCCUUCGGGUUGUAAAGCACUUUCAGCGGGGAGGGGGUAGGUGGAGAAGAAGCGCCGGCUAACUACGUGCCAGCAGCCGCGGUAAUAC
rnacentral:rRNA from 1 species